GUCGAACGAAGGCUUCGGCCUUAGUGGCGCACGGGUGCGUAACGCGUGGGAAUCUGCCCUUAGGUUCGGAAUAACAGUUAGAAAUGACUGCUAAUACCGGAUGAUGACGUAAGUCCAAAGAUUUAUCGCCUAGGGAUGAGCCCGCGUAGGAUUAGCUAGUUGGUGUGGUAAAGGCGCACCAAGGCGACGAUCCUUAGCUGGUCUGAGAGGAUGAUCAGCCACACUGGGACUGAGACACGGCCCAGACUCCUACGGGAGGCAGCAGUGGGGAAUAUUGGACAAUGGGCGCAAGCCUGAUCCAGCAAUGCCGCGUGAGUGAUGAAGGCCUUAGGGUUGUAAAGCUCUUUUACCCGGGAUGAUAAUGACAGUACCGGGAGAAUAAGCCCCGGCUAACUCCGUGCCAGCAGCCGCGGUAAU
rnacentral:rRNA from 1 species